rnacentral:rRNA from 1 species
UACGAAGGGGGCUAGCGUUGUUCGGAAUUACUGGGCGUAAAGGGCGCGUAGGCGGUGUGUCAAGUCAGGCGUGAAAGCCCCGGGCUCAACCUGGGAACCGCGCUUGAGACUGGCACGCUAGAGUUCGGGAGAGGAUGGUGGAAUUCCCAGUGUAGAGGUGAAAUUCGUAGAUAUUGGGAAGAACACCGACGGCGAAGGCAGCCAUCUGGACCGACACUGACGCUGAGGCGCGAAAGCGUGGGGAGCAAACAGG